GGGAUUUCUAUGAAAAUAAGCGAUAUUUUAGAGGAAAAACAGGGAUUUCCAUGAAAAUAAGCGAUAUUUUAUGUUAAAAACAGGGAUUUCUAUGAAAAUAAGCGAUAUUUUAGGGUUAAAAGCAGGGAUUUCCAUAAAAAUAAGCGAUAUUUUAUGUUAAAAACAGGGAUUUCUGUGAAAAUAAGCGAUAUUUUAGGGGAAAAACAGGGAUUUCCAUGAAAAUAAGUGAUAUUUUAGGGUUAAAAACAGGGAUUUCCAUGAAAAUAAGCGAUAUUUUAGGGGAAAAACAGGGAUUUCUAUGAAAAUAAGCGAUAUUUUAGGGGAAAAACAGGGAUUUCCAUGAAAAUAAGCGAUAUUUUAGGGUUAAAAGCAGGGAUUUCCAUGAAUAUAAGCGAUAUUUUAGGGAUAAAAACAGGGAAUUCUGUGAAAAUAAGCGAUAUUUUAGGGUUAAAAACAGGGAUUUCGAUGAAAAUAAGCGAUAUUUUAGGGGAAAAACAGGGAUUUCUAUGAAAAUAAGCGAUAUUUUAGGGUUAAAAACAGGGAUUUGCAUGAAAAUCAGUGAUAUUUCAGGGUUAAAAACAGGGAUUUCCAUGAAAAUAAGCGAUAUUUUAGGGUUAAAAACAGGGAUUUCGAUGAAAAUAAGCGAUAUUUUAGGGGAAAAACAGGGAUUUCUAUGAAAAUAAGCGAUAUUUUAGGGUUAAAAACAGGGAUUUCGAUGAAAAUAAGCGAUAUUUUAGGGGGAAAAACAGGGAUUUCUAUGAAAAUAAGCGAUAUUUUAGGGUUAAAAACAGGGAUUUCGAUGAAAAUAAGCGAUAUUUUAGGGUUAAAAGCAGGGAUUUCCAUGAAAAUAAGCGAUAUUUUAGGGAUAAAAACAGGGAUUUCCAUGAAAAUAAGCGAUAUUUUAGGGUUAAAAACAGGGAUUUCUAUGAAAAUAAGCGAUAUUUUAGGUUAAAAACAGGGAUUUCUAUGAAAAUAAGCGAUAUUUUAGGGGAAAAACAGGGAUUUCUAUGAAAAUAAGCGAUAUUUUAGGGUUAAAAACAGGGAUUUCUAUGAAAAUAAGCGAUAUUUUAGGGUUAAAAACAGGGAUUUCUAUGAAAAUAAGCGAUAUUUUAGGGAAAAACAGGGAUUUCUAUGAAAAUAAGCGAUAUUUUAGGGGGAAAAGCAGGGAUUUCUAUGAAAAUAAGCGAUAUUUUAGGGUUAAAAACAGGGAUUUCUAUGAAAAUAAGCGAUAUUUUAGGGGAAAAACAGGGAUUUCCAUGAAAAUAAGCGAUA